AGUGAACGCUGGCGGUAGGCCUAACACAUGCAAGUCGAACGGCAGCACAGUAAGAGCUUGCUCUUACGGGUGGCGAGUGGCGGACGGGUGCGGAAUACCUCGGAAUCUACUUUUUCGUGGGGGAUAACGUAGGGAAACUUACGCUAAUACCGCAUACGACCUACGGGUGAAAGCAGGGGAUCUUCGGACCUUGCGCGAUUGAAUGAGGCGAUGUCGGAUUAGCUAGUUGGCGGGGUAAAGGCCCACCAAGGCGACGAUCCGUAGCUGGUCUGAGAGGAUGAUCAGCCACACUGGAACUGAGACACGGUCCAGACUCCUACGGGAGGCAGCAGUGGGGAAUAUUGGACAAUGGGCGCAAGCCUGAUCCAGCCAUGCCGCGUGGGUGAAGAAGGUCUUCGGGUUGUAAAGCACUUUUGGUUGGAAAGAAAAGCAGCAGGUUAAUACCCCGCUGUUCUGACGGUACCCAAAGAAUAAGCACCGGCUAACUUCGUG
rnacentral:rRNA from 1 species